UAUCCAGAAAGGCGCUCGUUAUGGAUUCUAAGUGUAACGAGUACCUUUCUGGAUUGA
rnacentral:pre_miRNA from 1 species